CGGUAAUACGUAGGACGCGAGCGUUAUCCGGAGUUACUGGGCGUAAAGGGCGGGUAGGCGGCCAGUCAAGUUGGAUGUGAAAUCUCCUGGCUAAACUGGGAGGGUGCAUUCGAAACUGAUUGGCUGGAGGACAGCAGAGGGUCGCGGAAUUCCGGGUGGAGUGGUGAAAUGCGUAGAGAUCCGGAGGAACACCAGAGGCGAAAGCGGCGACCUGGGCUGUAACUGACGCUGAACCGCGAAAGCCAGGGGAGCGAACGGGAUUAGAAACCCCGGUAGUCCUGGCCGUAAACGAUGCCAACUGGGCGUUGGUGGUGAGAGCCAUCAGCGUCGGAGCUAACGCGGUAAGUUGGCCGCCUGGGGAGUACGACCGCAAGGUUAAA
rnacentral:rRNA from 1 species